AAACGAUGUCGACUUGGAGGUUGUGCCCUUGAGGCGUGGCUUCCGGAGCUAACGCGUUAAGUCGACCGCCUGGGGAGUACGGCCGCAAGGUUAAAACUCAAAUGAAUUGACGGGGGCCCGCACAAGCGGUGGAGCAUGUGGUUUAAUUCGAUGCAACGCGAAGAACCUUACCUGGUCUUGACAUCCACAGAACUUUCCAGAGAUGGAUUGGUGCCUUCGGGAACUGUGAGACAGGUGCUGCAUGGCUGUCGUCAGCUCGUGUUGUGAAAUGUUGGGUUAAGUCCCGCAACGAGCGCAACCCUUAUCCUUUGUUGCCAGCGGUCCGGCCGGGAACUCAAAGGAGACUGCCAGUGAUAAACUGGAGGAAGGUGGGGAUGACGUCAAGUCAUCAUGGCCCUUACGACCAGGGCUACACACGUGCUACAAUGGCGCAUACAAAGAGAAGCGACCUCGCGAGAGCAAGCGGACCUCAUAAAGUGCGUCGUAGUCCGGAUUGGAGUCUGCAACUCGACUCCAUGAAGUCGGAAUCGCUAGUAAUCGUGGAUCAGAAUGCCACGGUG
rnacentral:rRNA from 1 species